rnacentral:rRNA from 1 species
AAUCAACGCUGGCGGCGUGCCUAACACAUGCAAGUCGCGCGCGAAAGGGGGGCAACCCCCGACGUAAAGCGGCGAACGGGUGAGUAACACGUGGGUAAUCUACCUUCGAGUGGGGAACGAACAUCGGGAAACGUGGUGCUAAUUCCGCAUGACAUCGUCGGGGCGUUCGGUUUCCGACGCUCAAAGCUGGGGAGUCGUAAG